rnacentral:rRNA from 1 species
AGAGUUUGAUUCUGGCUCAGGACGAACGCUGGCGGCGUGCUUAACACAUGCAAGUCGAACGGUGAAGAGGAGCUUGCUUCUUGGAUCAGUGGCGAACGGGUGAGUAACACGUGAGUAACCUGCCCUUGACUCUGGGAUAACUGCUAGAAAUGGUAGCUAAUACCGGAUAUGACCCUCGGCCGCAUGGUCAGGGGGUGGAAAGAUUUUUUGGUCAAGGAUGGACUCGCGGCCUAUCAGGUAGUUGGUGAGGUAAUGGCUCACCAAGCCUACGACGGGUAGCCGGCCUGAGAGGGUGACCGGCCACACUGGGACUGAGACACGGCCCAGACUCCUACGGGAGGCAGCAGUGGGGAAUAUUGCACAAUGGGCGAAAGCCUGAUGCAGCAACGCCGCGUGAGGGACGACGGCCUUCGGGUUGUAAACCUCUUUUAGUAGGGAAGAAGGGAGCUUGCUCUUGACGGUACCUGCAGAAAAAGCACCGGCUAACUACGUGUCAGCCGCCGCGGUAA